CUACAGCAGGAAACUAGACAAUGCUGUAUCCCAGCAUGCAGUCCUCCCGUGUACCUGGGACUACAGGCACACACCAUUAUGCAUGGCGCAUGCCUGUAGUCCCAGGUACAUGGGAGGCUGAGGCAGGAGAAUCACUUGAACCUGGAAAGCAGAGGUUGCAGUGAGCUGAGAUCACACCACUGCACUCCAGCCUGGGAGACAGAGCUAGACUCCAUCUAAAAAAAAAAAAAAAGGCUGAAAAUAAAAAAGAAAGAAAAAGCUAUCCUCAUUAGAUCUGACUUUUUUGAGGGAAGAUCAGCUCCAGGGUCUUGGUGCAGACCUACAAGGCCUCUGUCUUGGCACUGGCAGCUCCACUGGGGACAUCCGAGCCAGCUGGCAGCAGCAGGAAUGAUGCUGGAAGAAGGAAGACAGUGACUGUGGAUCAGCAUGAGCUGAAAGGAGGAUCUUCUGGCUCACCCAUCUGGGAAGGGCGAAGAUGAAGUUGACCUCUGGAAAAGCCGGAUCCCAGGAUCCAAAUGAUAUCUUCAGGAGAACCAGAAGGCACUUUGCCGAGACCGAGAUUCAGCUGCAGGUCAAGCCUUUUCCUGCGUGGCUAUGUGCAAGGUUGCCAGUAAGGACAUGCCUUUCUCUUCCAGGAUUGCUAGGAUUGCAUCUUAACAAAGGUUUUUUCAGCACGUUGGAGAUAAUUGUGUGAUUUUCCUCCUUGAGUGUAUGAAUGUGGGUACAUGUGCAGAAUUUGCAAGAUAGUUGCAUCCUUGAGGAAUCGCCACACUGUCUCCCACAAUGGUUGAACCAAUUUACACUCCCACCAACAGUGUAAAAGUGAUCUUAUUUCUCCACAUCCUCUCCAGCAUCUGAUGUCUCCAGAUUUUUUAAUGAUCACCAUUCUAACUGGUAUAGGGUGGUAUCUCGAUGUGGUUUUGAUUUGCAUUUCUCUAAAGACCAGGGAUGAUGAGCAUUUUCUCAUAUGUUUGCUGGCUGCAUAAAUAUCUUCUUUCAAAAAUUGUCUGUUUAUAUCCUUUGCCCACUUUUUGAUGGGGUUGGUUUUUUGUUGUUGUUGUUUUGUUUUGUUUUUUUGUAAAUCUGUUUUAAUUCUUUAUAGAUUCUGGAUAUUAGUCCUUUGUCAGAUGGGUAGCUUGCAAAAAUUUUUUCCCCUUCUCUUGGUUGCCAGUUCACUCUAAUGAUUGUUUCUUUUGCUGUGCAGAAACUUUUCCACAGUGAAAAGCCUCUUUUAAUUUACAAAGAAUGAUUUUGAAUAUCAAAAGUUUAUGUGCUAAAGUACUUUGUAUGUGAAAUGUGUACUGUACAUUAUGGAAUUGGAAAGAAUUCAGGUUUUUGUUUUUGUUGUCGUCGUUUUGUUUUUUGCCAAAAUAAAAUAAAGGCAUCCAGCCUUUGGAGAAGAUGGCACCAUGGUUAGAUACUGUGGAAAGCCCAUUCUUAGUCAUACCCCAAAUAAGCCCGGAAGGAAGGAAGGAAGGAAGGAAGGAAGGAAGGAAGGAAGGAAGGAAGGAAGGAAGGAAUCUGAUGGAAGCAGAGAAGGAUUGAGUGUGCAAUUGAAUGCCCAGGUCCCCUCAAGAAGUAGUGGAGAGAAGGCCAAAGGACCUAGAGUAGCCUCAAAAUGGUCACAAGAAAAAUAUCAAGUACAGGGACUAUACUGAUAAGGACUAAGUCAAGAUCGGAAUAAUCUCAAUUAAUGGCAACAGAGAUGGCCACUGGGGCUCAUGUAUCUCCAGAGAAUCCAAUCUGAGGAGGUAAAAAUGAUCCUGGAUAAAGUUCUUCUUCCUGAACUUGACCUGAACUUGAUUCACCCCAAGGAUAAUGGGGAACUGGACGAAAGGGAAGAAGAAGAGCCUUUCAUUUUAUUGUUUUUACUCAUAACAUGUCUUAUUAAUCAUUAACUGCUUGAGUUUACAUGAAAAGGUUUAGAUUACUUUUUUUUUCAUCAAGCAGAUCGGGAGCUCAAAAUUACAAAGUAGAAUGAAUUGCAGAACUUUCUUAAAGUAACCUUUGUAGAAACUUGCAUAGAUAGCCUGUAUAAUUCACGACUGGUUUACACAUUUUAUUUGACAUUUCUGCAUUUUAAAAAUAUUUGACAAUGAGAAUCCUGUGUACUCAUAUAUUUC